rnacentral:rRNA from 1 species
UGCCAGCAGCCGCGGUAAUACGGAGGGUGCAAGCAUUAAUCGGAUUUACUGGGUGUAAAGGGCGCGUAGGCGGACAAGCAAGUCAGAUGUGAAAUUCCGAGGCUCAACCUCGGAGCUGCAUUUGAAACUACUUGUCUUGAGGGUAGACGGAGAAAACGGAAUUCCACGUGUAGCGGUGAAAUGCGUAGAUAUGUGGAAGAACACCGGUGGCGAAGGCGGUUUUCUAGUUUAUUCCUGACGCUGAGGCGCGAGAGCAAGGGUAGCAAACAGGAUUAGAUA